rnacentral:snRNA from 16 species
GGUUUAAUUACCCAAGUUUGAGGUAAACAUUGAAACUGACCCAAAGAAAUUUGGCGUUGGAUAUAAAUUAUGGAUCGUAUCACUCAGGGGAGACAAA